rnacentral:tRNA from 1 species
GGUGGCUCAGUGGUAGAGCGCUGGCCUAGCAUGCCUGAAGCCCUCAGUUCGAUUCCUCAGCACCA